GUGCCAAUGAGACAACUCUUCAUCCAAGUCACAAUUUGCAAUAGUAAACUAUAGGUCGAAGUACGGCCUUCAACAUAUAACCUUUGCUCUCAUCGAACAGAAAGCUAUAAACGGCCCCAAAAAAGACAUGUGUAAAACGGGAAAACCAACGAUCUAAUCUAUAUAAAAAAAAUAGAAACGGGAAACAUGCAACAAUGGGCUAUCAAUUCAGUGCCCAUGCUACGUCAAUCUUUAAAGACCCAAAUGUUGCAAAACACCUAUCCUACCUCCAUGACAAAUAUGUUGUUGUCCCCGCAGAUAAAACCCCAAAACAACAUCGUUUUUGUGUGUAAAACUCAUUACAUUAACUGCUUGAUAAACGAAUUAGGUAUUGACAAUUCACUUGGAAACUCAACAUAUACCCUCACGACACUUACCAAAGAGGAAAUCCUGGAUAAUAAUAGGUCUGUUCUGUGUUCCUUUGGAAUUUCAACCAAAGAUGAAGAACUGGAUCUUCCAUCACUGUAUUGGAUACCUAAACUACAUAAGUGUCCUUACAAACAACGGUAUAUUGCUGGGUCUUCAAAGUGCUCCACGAAACCUCUUUCUAAAUUAUUAACAUCUUUUUUAUCAGCAAUCAAAGACAGGCUUCAAAGUUAUUGUGAAACUGCCUAUUCUAGAGGGGGCGUGAAUCAGAUGUGGAUACUUAAUCAAAGAGCAGAUUGCUCUGAGGGAUACGAUUGCCGUUGUUUCAUUGACACAUGUACAUGUAUGCAUGUAGCUGGAUAAUAUUAUUUUCAAAACUAAUUCAACUGUACGUUUAAAAUAGUUACAAAAUAGCCAAUCACGGAUAAAAGUGUAUAAACAAUGUAAUCAGGUCUAUGUUUUAUUUUUGUACUAUCAAUUCCAAGUUUACUUUCCACAGCAGUCACUGAGACUCAGACUCACAGGCACUUGUUUCUAUCCAUUGAAAGACCCACUAUCAACGUAUAUUUACUCGUAAAUAUACGUUGAUAGUGGGUCUUCCAAUGGAUAGAAACAAUUGCCUGUGCUCAGACCACAGGAGUUUGAAAUCCUAUCAAUAAGGGGGUAAAAAUAUACCAAAGUCGACUAUCACAGUAGAGCUUCUCUCGCUUCUCUCUUCGAUGUGCUCAGACUGAGAGAAGGUAUUUCACUUCGUAUCUUAUCACCUAUUUUUCUAUAUUAAAAUUUGAUUAAUUCUAGGAGGAACCCCAUUCCUAACUCUUUAAAUAUUUAAUUUCCUUUGGGUCAGUGAUCAUGACUCCUUUCUGUACACAUUUAUCGGUUUAAAAUGCGAUCGUU
rnacentral:lncRNA from 1 species